UGUAGAGCGUCGCUUUUGGUCGACAAACAACACGAAACAGCCCCCGAAGUCGUAACUCACAUUCCGUCCUCCUUAAAUUUGUGCUGUUCAGUAGGGAUACGUGAACAAGCUUUUCAGAAAUUUCGUCAGGUGCCGUAUGAUAAGGGAGUUACAGGGUAGCUUAAUGUUCUCUUAUCUUACCCAGUGCAACAGAGACCAGCUUACAAGUCGCAUUAGCCAAUGGACAUCGUCAGCGUGGUCUCGGGUAACUUACAGGCGUUGCGCACAUAGGGCAACGUAGGAUCUUCUCAAAUCACCACCUCCUGGCGGUACCACUAUCGAAGAGCUGUUACUUCUCUGCUAUGAAAGAUAGUAACGCGACAAUGGACGCAGACGAAGGAAGACCUAUGCGAUGCGUUGAGGUUACGAAAAACUACGGCUGGAAAAGACAGAAAAAAGACCUGCGGACAUUGAAAUCAGCGUUUGUCGUUGCCAUUGUUGUCUCCACUGGUGCUAUGGGUUUGCCUCCAGCCAGCGCUUCAAAGCGUCUUACGGCCUCUGCAUUUCCAUUGAGGCGUGUCGGAACGAGUGCAAGCAUAAUUUCUCAAAGGAGAAAGCCAGUGUCCCCUUUCAUCCCCUCUUGGUCUUUCCGGCCGGUUCCAAACGCGAAUGAAACUUUUAUAGUUCGUCGAGUGAGCAUGCACAGUGAGCACGUGUCAGAGGAAAGGACCAUGAGGAUAUCUUCAAUUUCUUCUUUGUGGUCCUAUCUGGAACACUCUGGCUGAGGCGCGCGGGCGCGUUUCGUAAAGUUUCUCACCAAAACUCUGUGACGCUCUACAGACAACGCCGGUUGCCUGGACUUUGGGCCGCCCGCUUGCUGCUUGCGAUGAUAGAAUUGCUUGACUCCGAGUUGGCGAAGAUUUCCCAACGACGAAAAGCGGCCGUGUUCCAAUUGAGUUAAUUUAUCUGGGGAGCAAGUUUGAUCCGGCGAAGCGUCAAAAGGAUCUACUUCAUUCGAUGGAUUCCUGUUGUGCAUUUUACCUGUUUCCUAAAUCCGGCGGAUCAGCUUCGUCCCUUUUUUGGCGUUGAAACAACUGGAGCAGCGUUCCUGACGGCUGGCCCUAGGGUACUGCGCUACCGCUGCUUCCGCCGCUGGAUGUUGGUAAACGCUGGCCGACGUUGGUGUCAUUUAGCGCAGUGCUAGAACGUGGAGACGAGAGAGGUGGAGCUGAGUACCGAAGCGCUGCAAGGUAAAAAGUAGCAUCUACCCUUGUACGGGGGCCUUCAAAGCACAGAAAACACCAUUACUACCGCGUUUUCUGACGUCUUCAUGUUCACGCAGCAAGAUACCACCCGCGGCAGCCGAAGGGACCGGAACAGAAGCAAAGGCAGCUACGCGGCAUCAGCGCUUCUAUGCAACAGUGAAAGAUGAGAGAACAGUGAAUGGUAAAGGACGAACAAAAAGAAGAGGGAGUUACGAAGAAAAAAAGGAACUCGUUUAGCCCCAAGGCAACAACUCGAGGUUGCAGCUUCCGUAGCCAGCCGCUUCUGCCAACGUCUCCAGUGGUCAACGCCACUGCUGCUACUAUUUCUGCGGUGUGCCCGACGGCCUCAAAUAGCGUCAGUUCACGCGUUGAGGACUUCGAAGGAGAGAAAAGCCAAGAGAGGGAGCUGGGGUAUUUAUUAUACAUACGGAAAAGAUCUGCUCGCUUUUGCCGGGAUCUCUCGCGCGUUUUCUACCGGUACCUGCUGCUGCGGCGACGGCAGCAAUAUCCCCGCACCCGCAAGGUUGCUGAUAUUAGGUUCAUCCGAACGCUUGAGGUCAUUGAAGGUAUUGGGCUGAUGCUAAUGCUACUGUCUGAACAGCUGUUCAUAGAAGCCGCGCUACAGGGUA